GGGUGGCUUAGUGGUAGGCCAUCUGCUUUGAAUGCAAAAGGUCCCCGGUUCAAUCUCUGGCAUCUCCA
rnacentral:tRNA from 1 species